CCCGCACGCGCUCCGCUCCCAAUGCUCGUGGCACACCAGAGCCCACACCCGCACCAACCCUAGCCACCACACCUCACCUUCCUCCCCCGCUCCGCCCCAAACCUGGCCGCCACACCUCUCCUUCCUCCCUUGCUCGACGCCAUAGGCACCGCAGGCCCUACCUCCUUCCUGCUCGUCCGGAUAGCCGCCGGCCGCCGCAUCCUUUCUCCUCCUUCCUCCUCCCCGUUGGCGCCCCUCGUCCUCGGACAGGGGGCCUCCUGCAUGGACGGCCGGGUCUUCGUCGCUAAUCCCUUCCGCCCGCUCGCCGCGCUCGUCCUGUGGAACGUGCAAAAGGGUCAAAAUCCUAGCCGCCAAGCCUCCUCGUCAAGCCCGCGCCCCCUCCGCCUUGUCUCCUCUAUGCCCCCUCCUCUCCCACGUCGCCACCCUCGAGCCCGCACCCCCUCCGCCUCGUCUCCUCCCCGCUCCCUCCUCUCAAACGCCGCGCCAUUGACGCACCGUCAGGGACGCCGUCAACACGUCGGGGAUACGCCGCAAUGGAGCUCAGACAAGAGCAGGGCAGCGGAUUGGAUUGAGGGCACCCGAUGACCUUGCCGCCGCUGUCACCUGGAUUUGCUUGCCGCCGCGUGGAGUCUCCAUGGCCGCCGCCUCGAGUCACCUCCGUCGCCGCCGCGAGUCAGCUCCACUUUUGCCGCCAGGAAUCUCGUCCCCGGCAAGGAAAAUUCCUAGGGAUUUGAUUGACGGAGGCAUCGGUAUCUGGCAUUGUCCAAGAAGCCAUCGGUGGGGUUGGUGACUGUGGGAUGCUCGCUUGACCCCCUGUCCACAAUGAAAACCGGAGGAACCUUCACUUUGUAUAGAUCGUGAUGGAUAUGGGGACAUAUAAGAACACCUCCCUUCCGAAAAUCAACUAGGGCAGAUAAGAAAACCCACCUGAGAAUCUAUUGUAUACCAUAUUUUUUAGCCUCUUAACAUGUACAUGUACAUGUUGUAGUCUAUAUUUUGAUAUAGAAUAUGUUGUUACAUGCAACUGUUUGAGUUGGUGGGCCAUUGCUGCUGCCGGCUAAAAUUAUAAUAUUUGUAACUAAUAUUUUUGGUUGACAUAUUACUAGCGAAUUGGAUAUCAUAUCCCUAAACUAGGAAUUCUUUCAUUAUUGGAGGCUUUUAUCUGCAUAUACAAGGUAGCAGAAGAAGCAGGUGAGUGGCCCCUGUUUUGUUUCUUUAUGAUAGUGUCCUCUACAUAAUGGUUGAAACGGUGUAUAGCCUGAAGCAUGUGAUGUUUCUUUCAGUGUAUAUUUGUGAUUUAUGGCGUUUGAUGCGCAUAGGGCAGAACCUCACAUCACAUACAGUAUUAGAGAGGAAUGUUUUAACAGUUAGUGUUUCAAAGAUUUAUACUGUUUCAGCUAGCCAAUGAAUGUUUGUGGAGCUACAUAUUUGGUAUCAAAAGUACAUCAUUUGGGAAAUUGGGUUUUUAGUUAAUGUGUGUCAGGCAUCAAUAGUUUUGAAAUAUUACCAUGUUGCCGAAUAUAUCAUACAAUUAUAGGUGCAUUUAGUUCCCUAGAACAUUUGUUCUUGACUACCCAGUACCCAGUUGAGAUAUCACCAUUAGCGAAACCACAUUGGAGGUAAUUCUAUUAAGUCGGAAAAGCUAUAUGUUCCAGAAUUAUUGUUUAAUGAAGUACUCAUUUUGCUUUAUUCGUAUAAUAUGUCUUCCUGUUUUGUCAUCGACUUAAUAUUAUCCAUUGAAAGUUCUCCUUUUGUAAUGCGAGUGACCGAUAGGACAAAUACCAUUAUGCAUCAAGUAUAGUCGAAGUAGAACUUUGUCCUGGUAUUAGUAGAUUACAUGCUAACGUGCAGAUAACAUGGUUCUGAAGUUGAAAAUCAUUGCCACAAUGUUACAGAUUAGAGUUUCCAAAAUAAUAUUAUACUCCCUCCGUCCGAAAAUACUUGUCGGAGGAAUGGAUGUAUCUAGACGCACUUGUCGGAAAAAUGGAUGAAAAUGGAUGUAUCUACAACUAAAUUGCGUCUAGAUACAUCCAUUCCUCCGACAAGUAUUUUCGGACGGAGGGAGUAGUAAUCACAUCCAUUUCAUUGGAUGUGACGUGAUGUAUCCUAUAUGCGGAGCCAUGAAAGAAAUGUAACUAUGGAAGUUGUAGAUAACAGUAUACAGUUGUUCGAGUGCUCUCUGGCUAAACCUGAUGCCUUUUGUACAUCAAGGCUCUGAAUUUUUUAAGGAUCACAACUUACUUUCAAAGUAACAAUAAUAUUUGGAAAAUAUCAGAGGUGACAGAGAACAAUUUAAUAGGAUAGUGGCAAAUAAGGCCCAUUUCCUUAAGGUAUCAGCACAUAACACUUUUCACUAAUUUGGCCAGUUAGCAAUGCUCUGGUUUGUGCCAGUCAGGAAUUGAGAGCGUCAGUAGUCUUUGCAUAAAUAACCAUCAGACUGGAGGUCAACACUGAGAGAGGGACUGCAUACAGUUUUGUUCAAGCAUACCCCUUCAAGUUAUAAUUGCAAUACACUAUGCUGGAUACAAAUGACCUUUCGAUUUGAACUAUUCAUAUUGUUUAAUUUGAUGACCUGGGCAGGAUCCAGGUUUCGGUUGCUAGCAACUGUAAUGAUCAGACUCUUUUCUCUUUUUGUAGGUAUGCUGGUCUUGAUGUGGUUUUGGACUGAAUGUUUCUCACUUGGAGGAAUUGCUUUUUGCUAAAAUCAAUAUAUUUUUCAGUCCCCAACGAUUUUAUUCCUCAGCGCCCAAUGGACUUCUAUCAAUAUUUUCUUCCAAACAAUGUAUUGAAUUUACUAUGAUUCAUUGGAGUUAUUUGACGAAGGGGAGCCUUGGCGCAGUGGUAAAGCUGCUGCCUUGUGACCAUGAGGUCACGGGUUCAAGUCCUGGAAACAGCCUCUUACAGAAAUGUAGGGAAAGGCUGCGUACUAUAGACCCAAAGUGGUCGGACCCUUCCCCGACCCUGCGCAAGCGGGAGCUACAUGCACCGGGCUGCCCCAUUGGAGUUAUUUGACAGAGAGAAAUAUUCUCUGUAUACUGGAUACAAUUACUCAUGAUAGGUCCUUUUACUCCCUAGCGACCAAUACACUCAUUUUUAGUUUUAUGUACCGCCAUUGACAUAUAUCUUUUCUUCCAAACUAUGAGACAUUAUGUAAAUGUACACUGGAGAAUGUAUUAUGUACAUGUAUAUUAUUUCAAAUGGGUCUGUGCGAACAUGGUAGCAAGUAUUUUGUGCUAUCAGAUUAGAAUGUGUGUAUACAUCUCAUUGUUGACAACAAUGCACCAUAAUUAAGUUUCCCUUCUUUUAGCUUAUUUGUUGCUACCUGAGAUAAUACCAAGUAUGAUCUUUGGUUUGCCAUGUACGACACUGCGGAGUCAUUUUAUUAAGCUGGCAUUAGUAAUUUUGCAUUUUACAUAGUUCAUGUGCAAGUUAAAUGUAUGUCCAAUAAUUACUAAUACUAAGUUUAUAAUGUUGGCACAAUCUGUUAUUGCCGUUAUCUUCUUGGGAGUACUUGAGAAGGCGUGGCUGGGAAUGUGGGGACACGCCAUGGCAGAGGCGCAUGGUCGGCAGGAGGAGUCAGGGAGGCCUGAAGGUGGACAUGUGGAUGUUAUCGUGGCAUUGACACAUUUCGCUCCACCGAUACCAGGGAUUCGUUGGAAGCCACACGGCGCACCCGAGGAGAGGAGGAGAAUGCUCUGAAGAGAGGAAAUGAUAAAUUUUAUUGUUUUGUUUUAAGAGCAAGGGAUUUGAUAUGUAGUCCCCUGGCUUAUUUGUAUUCUACUAUGUGUAUGGCCAAAGAAAUCAUGAUUUUAUACACACAUAUAUUUUUAAACAAAACCCUAUGUAUGUUUUGCUCAAACA